GACGAACGCUGGCGGCGUGCUUAACACAUGCCGGUCGAACGGAAAGGCCCUGCUUUUGUGGGGUGCUCGAGUGGCGAACGGGUGAGUAACACGUGAGUAACCUGCCCUUGACUUUGGGAUAACUUCAGGAAACUGGGGCUAAUACCGGAUAGGAGCUCCUGCUGCAUGGUGGGGGUUGGAAAGUUUCGGCGGUUGGGGAUGGACUCGCGGCUUAUCAGCUUGUUGGUGGGGUAGUGGCUUACCAAGGCUUUGACGGGUAGCCGGCCUGAGAGGGUGACCGGCCACAUUGGGACUGAGAUACGGCCCAGACUCCUACGGGAGGCAGCAGUGGGGAAUAUUGCACAAUGGGCGGAGGCCUGAUGCAGCAACGCCGCGUGCGGGAUGACGGCCUUCGGGUUGUAAACCGCUUUCGCCUGUGACGAAGCGUGAGUGACGGUAAUGGGUAAAGAAGCACCGGCUAACUACGUG
rnacentral:rRNA from 1 species